rnacentral:lncRNA from 1 species
GACAUUUUCCAACUCUCAGCACACAGGCUGCUUUUUAUCAUUCCUACGGGGCGGGAGGGGGCAGGGAGAGAAGGCUAAGACACCGGGUCCAGUACCCAGAGAUUCUAGGGAGAGAUCUCUGAGAUUGCCUACUUGUCACUGGAAUCAAUUCCGUGGGGAAUCGGCUCCGCCGCCGCGAAGGACAGCCUUUCCGCGCGGGACUCCGGGGCGCCACGGGGGCCAUGUAAGCAGCUAUCUUCCAGAGGGCCACACUGGGCAUGGACACCCUUUUCCCUGCCUGGAGGAGCACAGGUGAUAGUGUAAUUUUCCAGUCACGAAACUGCUAAGGCCAUCUCAGGGGCGUGUGCGCCAGGAUAGGCGGGCGGCGUCCGAGGACCACAUAGCCAUGCCUUUUGGUCUGAAGCUCCGCCGGACACGGCGCUACAACGUCCUGAGCAAGAACUGCUUUGUCACACGGAUUCGCCUGCUGGACAGCAAUGUUAUCGAG